rnacentral:rRNA from 1 species
UACGUAGGGGGCGAGCGUUAUCCGAAUUUAUUGGGCGUAAAGCGUGUGUAGGCGGUUUAUUAAGUCUAAGAUUAAAGCCUGGGGCUUAACCCCAGUUCGUUUUAGAAACUGGUAGACUUGAGUGUGGUAGAGGCAAGUGGAAUUUCUAGUGUAGCGGUUAAAUGCGUAGAUAUUAGAAGGAACACCAGUGGCGAAGGCGGCUUGCUGGGCCAUUACUGACGCUGAGACACGAAAGCGUGGGGAGCAAAUAGG